ACCUCAAGUCAUGUGAGAGUACCCGCUGAACUUAAGCAUAUCAAUAAGCGGAGGAAAAGAAACUAACAAGGAUUCCCCUAGUAACGGCGAGUGAAGCGGGAAGAGCACAAAUUUAAAAUCUACCUGGUUUCCAGGUCGAGUUGUAAUUUGAAGAAACGUUUUUGACGUUCCGGGUUGGGAUAAAUCCUUUGGGAUGAGGUAUCAUGGAGGGUGAGAAUCCCGUGUAUACCAACCGCAGGGAUGUUAUUUAAUACGUUUUCUAAGAGUCGAGUUGUUUGGGAAUGCAGCUCUAAAUGGGUGGUAAAUUUCACCUAAUGCUAAAUAUAAGCGAGAGACCGAUAGCGAACAAGUACCGUGAGGGAAAGAUGAAAAGAACUUUGAAAAGAGAGUUAAAUAGUACGUGAAAUUGUUGAAAGGGAAACGAUUGAAGUCAGUCAUGCCGGCGGGAAUCAACUUAGGGGAAACUCUAAGUGCACUUCACGUUUGGCAGGUCAGCGUCGAUUUUGGAUAUCAUAAAAUGAUUGGGGGAAGGUAGCUCCUUCGGGAGUGUUAUAGCCCUUGAUAGAUGUGAUGUUUGGGAUCGAGGAUUGCAACGGAUACCCUUUGGGCUAACCGCCUGAUCUCUAACUGGUGUUAAGUUACGGACAGCAUGCUGACCGUGAUUUAAUUAUUGGUUAAAAGGUUAGAGCGAGUGUAAAUUCGUUAAGGACGCUGACGUAAUGGCUUUAAACGACCCGUCUUGAAACACGGACCAAGGAGUCUAACAUGUAUGCGAGUGUUAGGGUAUUAAACCCAGACGCGAAAUGAAAGUGAGUGUAGGUGGGAUCCUUUAUUGGAGCACCAUCGACCGAUCUUGAGAUUUAUCGAUAGAAUUGAGUUAGAGC
rnacentral:rRNA from 1 species